rnacentral:rRNA from 1 species
UACGAAGGGGGCUAGCGUUGCUCGGAAUCACUGGGCGUAAAGGGUGCGUAGGCGGCAAAUCAAGUCAGGGGUGAAAGUCCGGCAGCUCAACUGUCGAAGUGCCUUUGAUACUUGAUUUGCUCGAGGGAUAUAGGGGUCUGUGGAACUUCUGGUGGAGCGGUGAAAUGCGUUGAUAUCAAGAAGGAACGCCGGUGGCGAAAGCGACGGACUGGAUAAUCUUCUGACGUGGAGGCGACGAAAGCUAGGGGAGCAAACGGGA